UACAGAGGGUGCAAGCGUUAAUCGGAGUUACUGGGCGUAAAGGGCGCGUAGGCGGAUAUUUAAGUCGGGUGUGAAAUCCCUGGGCUCAACCUAGGAAUUGCAUUCGAUACUGGAUAUCUAGAGUAUGGUAGAGGAAAGUGGAAUUCCCGGUGUAGUGGUUAAAUACGUAGAUAUCGGGAGGAACACCAGUGGCGAAGGCGGCUUUCUGGCCCAAUACUGACGCUGAGGCGCGAAAGCGUGGGGAGCAAACAGG
rnacentral:rRNA from 1 species